rnacentral:lncRNA from 1 species
GGAUCGCCUCUUCAAGCGACGACCAACCCCGCCGGAGUCAGGACCAGACUUCGCUCAACAUGCCUCCAUGCGUCGCCUUCCCGGCGUCAACCGCGCCACUGGCGAUCGUCUCGCCGGACCUUCCUCUCUCUGUUCCGACCCAACCUAGGCACCGUGAAAACGCGCCGACACCGGAACACUAUCCUCACAACUAGUCAUCCUAACCGCCUCACCACCAGAAAUCGACAUUGCUGUCGUAGGAGAGACUACCACGAGGUCACGCACCGACCAGCCACCGUGCCUUCGUGAAGCCACCGAGAAGACGUUGCCACUGUCGCGCUGGAAGCCCUCCGUCACUCUCUUCCUUCUUCCAAGCACCACCGCAACCUUCAACGCCUCACCACGGUUUGGCUCCUUUUGGUAUUCUUAUUGAUUGCUAGUUGAAUCAAAGAGACCAAAAUUCUCUUUGAAGAAUCGAAGAAAGACUAGUUUGCUGCUUACUCCGCUGUGCACCGCCGCUACCCGCCGCCGGUCAUCGUCCGCCGUCGGCCGCCGUACGUCGCCGAACACCAUCUGUCGCAGGCCACCAUCGCAGUUGCGACCGAUGACCAACAUCUGGGUCGCCUCUUCAGGCGACGACAAUCCCCGCCGGAGUCAGGACCACUCUCCGUUGAACGCGCCUCUAUGCGCCGCCUUCCCAGUGUCGACAUCAAACCGCGCCACUGCCGGUCGUGUCACUGGUCCUUCCUCUCUCUGUUCUGACCCAACCUAGGCACUGUGAAAAUGUGCCGACACCGGACCACGAUCCUCACAACCAGUCAACCUCACCGCCGCACCACUUCGCAGGAGAGACUACCACGAGGUCGCGCGCCGACCAACCACCGUACCGUCGUGAAGCUGCCGAGAAGACGCUGCCACUGUCGCGUAGGAAGCCCUCUGUCACUCUCCUCCUUCUUCAUCGUGUAACAGCCAUCAGCGAGCAUCGUUGUCGUCAGUCCUCUUCCUUCUUCCACGCACCACCGCAACCUUCAACCACGGUUUGGCUCCUUUUGGUAUUCUUAUUGACUGCUAGUUGAAUCAAGGUUUAAUACCUAUUUUGGUCCCUCUUUUGGGAGGGUUUAUUCAAAGUGGUCAUCCCUUUUUUAAAAAGUUCACUAAAGUCCUACCUUUUGCAAAAAUUGUGCAAGUAGGUCCUUUUUGGUUACG